GUCAGGAUAGSUCAGUUGGUAGGGCAGAGG
rnacentral:tRNA from 1 species